rnacentral:rRNA from 1 species
AGAGCGAACGCUGGCGGCAGGCCUAAUACAUGCAAGUCGAACGGAUCCUUCGGGAUUAGUGGCGGACGGGUGAGUAACACGUGGGAACGUGCCCUUUGGUUCGGAACAACUCAGGGAAACUUGAGCUAAUACCGAAUGAGCCCCCAUCCUUAAACAAGAUGGGUGGGAAAGAUUUAUCGCCAUUGGAGCGGCCCGCGUCUGAUUAGCUAGUUGGUGGGGUAAAGGCCCACCAAGGCGACGAUCAGUAGCUGGUCUGAGAGGAUGAUCAGCCACACUGGGACUGAGACACGGCCCAGACUCCUACGGGAGGCAGCAGUAGGGAAUCUUGCGCAAUGGGCGAAAGCCUGACGCAGCCAUGCCGCGUGAAUGAUGAAGGUCUUAGGAUUGUAAAAUUCUUUCAGCGGGGACGAUAAUGACGGUACCGCAGAAGAAGCCCGGCUAACUUCGCGCCAGCAGCCGC